GUUGUUUUAGUGACUACAGUGUUUCUUUAAAAAAAAAAAAAUCAGAGGUAAAGGCUAAUCAGCCAAGUCAUACCACAAACAAACUCAGAGUUGCACAAUAUAGUGCUAUAAUAAGGAAAUAAAAACCAGGCAAUGUCACAAAAGCAAUAAUGACUGUAAUUUAAAAAGAGCCUUCCAGCCUGACAAUAAACUCCUCAGCUCACUAGAAAUAAUGCAGUG